rnacentral:lncRNA from 1 species
GAAGAGGUAGACUUUGUGUUUGUUGCUUUUGAAUCAUUUUGCAAUUGAACUUUGGGGUUCUUAGGUGUAGUCUCGGUAAUGGGAAGUAGAAGAAAGCUUUGGAUGGUGGUUGAGAAGAAAGAAAACCGAAAAUAGGUUGGGAAGGGAGAGAGAAAUGAAGCAUUUAAUUUUUUACCUCUUUUGGACAAGCAAAAUUUGAAGCACAC